rnacentral:rRNA from 1 species
GACGAACGCUGGCGGCGUGCUUAACACAUGCAAGUCGAACGGAGAGGCCCUGCUUUUGUGGGGUGCUCGAGUGGCGAACGGGUGAGUAACACGUGAGUAACCUGCCCUUGACUUUGGGAUAACUUCAGGAAACUGGGGCUAAUACCGGAUAGGAGCUCCUGCUGCAUGGUGGGGGUUGGAAAGUUUCGGCGGUUGGGGAUGGACUCGCGGCUUAUCAGCUUGUUGGUGGGGUAGUGGCUUACCAAGGCUUUGACGGGUAGCCGGCCUGAGAGGGUGACCGGCCACAUUGGGACUGAGAUACGGCCCAGACUCCUACGGGAGGCAGCAGUGGGGAAUAUUGCACAAUGGGCGGAAGCCUGAUGCAGCAACGCCGCGUGCGGGAUGACGGCCUUCGGGUUGUAAACCGCUUUCGCCUGUGACGAAGCGUGAGUGACGGUAAUGGAUAAAGAAGCACCGGCUAACUACGUG